GACGCGGUGCCCAGGCUAAACCACCUACGCUGGACUUGCUAUUAGUUGGGCCGCAAACCCAAUAACUUCCCUACAUGAGGGAGUGAGUAAGUGACUUGUGACUUUAAACUCCAUUUCCCAUUCGCAAUCGUGAGAGCUUCAAAAUCAGAAAGUGUUGCAGACUCGGAAAGCCAAGAAAUGGGGAUGUUCACAGGGAUGUUGAUGAGAGGACAGCCACUGACAACGAAGCUGGCAAAAUGGGCUACAUAUGGUGUUUUCCCUGCAGCCAUGGCCGCCGCCGUCAUCUAUUCCCCUCCCAGUUACACCUAUUCCAAGGACAGUCCUAAGUCCACCAAAUAAGGCAUUGCUCGGGGCAUACGGCAUGGAAGUGGAAGUUAGAAGCUUGGCUCUUUUUUUGGUUCAAAUAUGGUCUGAAUAAUCAACGUGACCUAAUAAUUGCUCAAUUUAAGUGGUUUUCCCUGCUUCUUUGAAAAACUUUCACCAGAACAUCUUUGAAUGUAUUUUAUUCAAGAUUUCCCCUGUUGGUCACUUUUUUCGAAUGUACUAUAUGGAAAAACAUUUGAUUAUUGUCAGAUGAUCUGCAUUGCAAGAGUUGGUUAGGGUUGA